UAACUGAUUAUAAUUACCUCCCCUGAAUGACGUCAUCCGGGGAUACCCGAUUAUCGACUAUAAGCAAACAAAGAGAUGUCUGUUUGACAAUGUGUGUUUUCAACGGUGUAAAUGGACUUAAAAUAUGAACGAAAAGAUUAAUGACCACGACUAUGCUGUCCAGUUUUACACAGCAACACCAGUAUUCGACUCAAAACCGGAUGGAAAACAGAUUCAAGACAUUACUGUAUCACUCGAGAAGAAGUUGAAGUCUAACAGGAUCUGCUGUGUGCCCAAAUGUCACACCACUGGCUAAGGAUUGUUAGAAGGCCAUGGAAAGCCCAGCUAUCAUGCAUUUCCAGCUGAAGAUGAUCCAGUUCAAGCUGUUUGGUUGAAUAAAAUACGAAGAGAUGAAGACAGACAUUUUAAGGUCAGUUGUUAGUGGUUUCAGUAA